CCUACGGGAGGCAGCAGUGAGGAAUAUUGGUCAAUGGACGAGAGUCUGAACCAGCCAAGUAGCGUGAAGGAUGACUGCCCUAUGGGUUGUAAACUUCUUUUAUAUGGGAAUAAAAUGUUCCACGUGUGGGAUUUUGUAUGUACCAUAGGAAUAAGGAUCGGCUAACUCCGUGCCAGCAGCCGCGGUAAUACGGAGGAUACGAGUGUUAUCCGGAUUUAUUGGGUUGAAAGGGUGCGUAGGUGGGUUGUGAAGUCAGUUGUGAAAGUGUGCGGCCCAAACGUAAAAGUGCAGUUGAAACUGGCAAUCUUGAGUACAGUAGAGGUGGGCGGAAUUAGUGGUGUAGCGGUGAAAUGCUUAGAUAUCACGAAGAACACCGAUUGCGAAGGCAGCUUACUAAACUGUGACUGACAUUGAUGCUCGAAAGUGUGGGUAUCAAACAGGAUUAGAUACCCGAGUAGUC
rnacentral:rRNA from 1 species